rnacentral:lncRNA from 1 species
CAAACACAUACACACACACACACACACACACACACACACACACACAGAGGGAAGAAGGGCAUAUGAAGACUGACGCAGAUUGGAGUAAUGUAGCUAUAGCCAAGGAACACCAAGAAUUGCUGGGAUCUGCUAGAAGCCAGGAGAGCAGCUGGGAGAUGAUUUCUCUUUCAGAGCCUCCAGAAGGAACUAACCCUAUGGCCACCUUGAUUUAGGACUUCUGGCCUCUUGGACUAUGAGGUGAUAAAAACAAGAUUGAGCUAAAAGACAACAUAAUCAGAAGACAGAAAAUGAACACAAUAUCUAAAGAACCAGAUAAGACUGUGAGAGACCAGGAACAGCAACAGUAUACAUGCCACAUCUAAGGAGGGGAGGAGGGGCCCAUCUGUGUUCACCCCACUGCUUCAGGGUCCUUCUAACAAAGAGAUUGUGCUGCGGUGGCCCCAAGAACCUUCCAGCAGGUGCUGUCCCUAAGCUCUUUUUCUGAAUUAUCUGUCUCUCACAAGCACCCUUUGCAGGAAAAGACAUGAAAGUGAAGAGAGAUGAAGUAACUCACCGAAGAGCACACAGUGAGCACACACAUUGAGAGUCCAGGUUAACUCCAA